ACCUCUACUUUUAGGUAAAUCAUAACUGAAGAACAAUCAUCAAAUCUAACCCUUUGCGGUUUAUUUCGAAGCAUAUACUCUGCAUACUCGCGGAUACCUGAUGGACGAGUUGGAACGUACGUACUACUAAGGUAAGGCACUUUUGGAGUGAUUCCUUCUCACGCAAUCAGCAACAAAGAAAACCGAUUUUAGAUCUAUAUGAAACCGCUAAUAAAUACAUCCCUUAAUGCUUAAGAAAUGCCUGAUUUGUUAGAAAACUCUCACAUCCAAAUACUUGAAAAUCGCAGCUACUUCAUGAGAAAUCAAACACGUGUUGUAAUACUUUUUCGAGAGAAACUUUCAGUAACCGGUGUUUCUUUUCGGAUUUCAGACUGAUGAAAGCCAGCAUUUUAUUUCACACCGCUAAUUUUACGGGAGAUUGUAAUAUAUCAAUUGCUGUCCACGAUGGAGAGUGAAUAUCUUUGUGAUUUUUCUUAACACGGAAACAGCCGCCAUGUUGGUUUGCACAAUCAUUUUGAAAUAAUCCUUGUUACUUGAUUCACAUCUGCUGAAAAUAACCUCUUAAGUAAAAGAGAGAUAGACUAUGCUAUUUCUUAUCUUGGUUAGUUUUCUAGUACAUUUCUAUCCGUUCAACGUCUUUUAAUGGAUGUUAAUUUCACUUGAAGCGCGCGAACAACUCAGCUUUAGCACAACUCGCUCAAGAAGCGCUCAUUAAGCAGCAAGUUACCGAACUAGUCUGUUUGUAUAUUAAUACUGAGCGAGCAUUUUUAUUAGGGAAUUGGUAAGCUUAAAUAAAGAUUCAUUCCACAUAGUGAAUUGUGAAAGUUAUUUAUGUUUUGUAUCGAGAAACCGAAAAACCGUUAACAGUAACUGAACUCAGCGUUUGAGAACAUGCGCGUCUAAACCAAUUGGCGCCUUUUGCCCUACGCACGCAUUGAAUCACAUCAGGGACUUAGUCGUUCGUUUACUCGACACGGAGGAAAACAAUCAGGUCAGAAAAUCAAAACUUAAGACGGACGUCUAUCCUUGUAAUUGCUAUUGCACGCAGACUAUUUCGAACUGGUUUCUAAAAGAUAGAUUACGUAGCUCCACGUUGGUGAUUGCAAAUACACAGACUAGAAGUUUAUUUAUCUUGCUCUAUGUAUCUUAAAGGUUUUUAAAACUCAUAUUGCCAAUUUGCAUUGGUAGUUGAUUGUGAUGUUUUAGAAACGACAAGAAUAUCCUUGAAUGCAUAUUCGGGAACCGUUUUUACAAGCAUAAUAUUCCCCUGCAUGUUUAAAAUGUCCCUUUUAAACUUUCUAAACUGUAUUGCAGGGCAGUUAAACAGAUGCAUAGGUAAAUAAGCUGGCUUAUCACCCAAAUUAAACCAAAACCUAAUGAAAAUUUUAUUUGAUCCAACAGUUAUGCCCAACUCCUUAUUAAAACACACUCAAGGAACUUCUGUUCAAAGUCUAAGGGUUGAUUUUCCCUGUCAUUAGGCUGACUAAAAGAUGGUUAAGGCUCCAUUCUGAUCACUGAGUGAUCGAGUCUUCUAGAACAUCCUAAUGUAACAGCACAACCCAGAACGGAAAAAACGUGUCAAAAAUCUUCUUGGAUUUCAAUGUCUUGAAGAGUAACAGGCAUUUAAUUGUGCCAGCAGCAAGUCAGCCACCACAUACACAUCUAUUGUAUUUACUCCUUCAGGGAUACAACAUAUGUCAAAGAACUUUUAGCACCCUGUGAAGUCUCUCCAACAGAACCAACAGAACAGCUAUGAACGGUCAACAAAGUUUCGAUUUUCAUGUAUGGACGUAAAAGUUAGGAUCACUUUGUACAGCAAACUACUACUGCUCAGAAGUUUUCAUUUGGAUGUUUACACUUCAAAGUUUCAGAGAGUAUUGAUCAGUAGUUUUCAUUUGAAUAGUCACACUACGGGGUUUUAUCCUCAGAACUCAAAGGUAUAACUACUUUGCAAAAUAGAAUGAAGAAAAAGCCUCAUGAAAAUACUUCUUAGUAGCUCUCAUAUAGGCGGACACUUAUUAGAGUUUUUAAUUGUCACUUAUUAGAGUUAUGUCCUCAGACUAAAAAAGAUCUUGCCUUGCAGAUCAUGAUUAGCAGUACCAAAAGAACGUUUUGUUCCAUCUUUUGACACAAGCUCCCAAAGGCAGAGAGGAUAUAAUUUUUUAACACUCUUUAGUAAGACUUUGAGUACAGACUGAGGUUUAAAAUAAAAUUGGAAAGGGACCAAUGUAAAUCACACAGAAACGAAAUUAGGGAAAAACCCAGAAACCAUAUUAACAAAAAAAGCAUUACAGUUGUACUUCGAGAUGACAAUGCAAUGUAUUGGGAUUCUCCCAUUGUAAAGGGGUUUCUUUUAUUCGAAAGGAAAGGAAAAAUAGCACUUAGCUCAUGCAAAAAUACCCCAACGCUUGAAGAUUUCAUACUCACAACUUUAAUAAAUAGUAACAGAGAUAUCACCAGGCAAUCAAACGUACUCACAGAGAUACACAGACCAUUUCGGUGGCGGUGCUACACCAAGCAAAAAGAUCAUGGAAAAUGCAUCGAAUGAAAAAUCAGCACAGAGUUCAGGAGCCAGCGAAGGUCGGAAAUCAACGCCUUAUCAGCGAAUAGUGAUCGCCUGCCCUGAAAAUCACAUUAUCGUGGUGAAGAGAUUUUCGAACGGAGAAGUUAGAGUCGAAGGAGGACGACUGGUCGCUGUUGAAGACAAGAAAGGCCGCUAGAUGAGAGAGUGUUUCAAGAGCUUCAAGAAUGAUCUGUGGACCUUGUGCACGUGAAACGGUUUUGGAAGUCAGUGAAUCACUCGAAGAAAGAAAGCACUGGAUACUGUUAGCAAGUUUUAGGACUGAGUGUUUGUAAAAAUAAGAUAAUUUCGCAGUAAUGAAAGAGAUUAAUCGCUAAAAGGAAUUAAUCUUUUAGAUUUUGUCGUUAAAGUCUUGUAAAUCGAAUGAACUGUCGGCUUUUUACAUAAAUGCGUCUUGCGUGCAAGAGGAAGGAUCGCUCUUCAUCAAUAAAGCUUAUCACUGUAUGAAAAACAGGAUUGGAUUAA
rnacentral:lncRNA from 1 species